rnacentral:rRNA from 1 species
CAAAGCACUUUGAAGAGAGAGUUAAAGAGGACGUGAAACCGAUAAGGUGAAAACGGAUAGAGCCAACGAAUCUGGCUUGUAUUCAGAUGCUGUUCAAGGUUCGGACCUGUCAGGCGAUCCUGCUUCAGGUUGGCACGUAGGUUGUGAGUAGCUCAAAUGGUGGUGCAUUUGCAGGUGGAGUGCGCUGAGGUGUGUGGAGUAGCGAACCGAACUGCGUUAUGAGGUCAUUGGUGAACCCCGGGCGUUGGGAAGGUUGUAUGCUCUGUAUUACCGCCAAUGGAGAGGCCGUGUGUGGAUCGGAGCUUAGUCGCGAAGAUGCGCAACGGCCGCAUGCGACGCGUGCCCGCUGGCGAGGUGGUUGUGUCUUGUUACCCUUCUCCGGUGGAUCUCGGUGUAAAAGUUGGUCAUCUAUCCGACCCGUCUUGAAACACGGACCAAGGAGUUUAACGUAUGCGCGAGUCAUUGAGUGGAGAAACCCAAAGGCGUAAUGAAAGUGAAUUGAAAAUCAAGUGCGAUCCUGUAUGCCCCCUCUUUGGGGAGCAGCAUGGCCCCGUCCCGAUCGCUUGCGAUGGGGCGGAGGUAGAGCGUAUUCGCUGAGACCCGAAAGAUGGUGAACUAUUCCUGAGCAGGAUGAAGCCAGAGGAAACUCUGGUGGAAGUCCGAAGCGGUUCUGGCGUGCAAAUCGAUCGUCUGACUUGGGUAUAGGGGCGAAAGACUAAUCGAACCAUC